CUCUAUUGUGAUGGCCUUACAGAGCAGCAAGCCAGUCAGUGCAGACAGACAGAUUCACCCUAGAGCAGCUUUAACUCCUAGCACAGGUGGGCCAUCUAUCCAACGCCGGGGAACACUGUCUCAGCCUGCAUCACAGGAGGAGGGCAGAAGCUCAACAGAACAUCUAAGCAGAAGACCUGCUGGGUGCAACUUCUCUGGCCCAAAAGGAAAACUAAGGUCGAGAACCAACCUAGAGGCCCAGACAGUGUUGUUUCUCUGUAUAGCCCUGACCUUCAUAGAACUCCAUCUAUAGACCAGGCUGGCAUCGAACCCAGACAUCCACCUGCUUCUGCCUCUCCAAUGCUAGAAUCAAAGGUGUGUGCCAUCAUGCCUGGACUAGAGGUGUGUUUUUUGAAAACUUCGAAGGUUGUGUCCAGUCCCUCCUGGCCCCCCACCUUGGGCUCUUCACUAUUGCCUGGUGAAUUUACAAGUGAAUUCUGUCAGGCUCUAGGGGACGAUGACAAAGUAGAUACAGGAAUGCACUCCUGGGUACAUGGAGCUCCCACCUCACCACAGGAAGGCGCCACACGGCCCUGCCCCAAAGGUAUGAGCAGUGAUCUGACAACAAGCUUACUUGAAGGCCAUAAUCCUAGCUGAGACAGGAGGACCAUGAGUUAGAGGCCCUGUCUCAAGACCUAGCAAAUAAAAACUAAUAUGGUAUAUGGCUUCACAAGAGGUAAGGAAAGAUGUUGAUGUGUGGCUAAUGAUGCCAGCAACCAAGAAAUCAUAAAGGUGUAAGAGAAACAUUCUAUUCAGUAAAUAUUUAUUGACAAGUCCAAGUACUAGGCAGCAUAGGGUAGAAAUGAGUAAGCUAUGAACCUUCCACAACUUUUUUGGAAGUGAAAACCCAUGACCUCUUCCCUAGUGAGCUGCUCUGCUGCCCACGUAGUCAAUGGCUGGUCCAAGGGGCAGGAAAAAAAAAUGUCUGGUGGUUGGAGGAAUAAGCAGAAAACGAGUACCAUUUUCUCAG
ensembl:lncRNA